CUCUUCCCAGACACUGUCCUCUCCAGCCUUGUGACUUGUGUCCAUAGCAUCUCUCCAGCCUCAACCUCCCCACUCCCCAGCCCCCUUCCCCAGCCCUCUCCCCGGGGUGCCCUCCCCUGCCCCAGGGCUCAAAGCCCCACUUUUAUCCCUGGGGCAUUUUUCAGAUCCCCUUUGUUACCUGAACAAUAAGUAACCCAGGUAGUUAGUUAUAAACUCUACAGGAACAAGGAGCUGGUUGAUAAUUUAUAGCAACAUCUCAAAUUUAAAUGGAAAGUAAAUAGCAUGCUGUUAGCAUUAAAGAAAACCCAGCCUCCUCCCUGCCUGGCCGCCUCACUCUCUCCCCUGCCCCUUCUCCCCGCUGGGUCUGAGCCCCUCUCCCCCGGGGCUCCCUGCCUGCCCGGCUUCUCCUCCCUCGCUGUCCAUCUUCUCCUCUUCCUCUCUCUUCCUCCCGCUCCCCUCAGUCUCCGCCUCGGCCUCCAGGUCUCUGCCAGUCCCCAGGAGCACUUUGACCUCUGCUCCCCCUCUCGAAUGCUGAAGACCAAGCCUCCCCCAUCCCACCACCCCACCAAAGGGGCCCCACCCAACCAGCCAAAAGCCUGACAGCAUUCCUCAAGGGAGAGCACCCCAAGCCCAGGAGCAGAGGACACACAUCAUUUCUUAGAAAAGCAGCGGUGCUGAGGGGCUACCCCUAAGCCACAAACUUUCUGAAGGAUAAGGGUACAGAUUUUUCAGGCAUCUGCGAGCUAGGAGCCAUCGGCUGGAAAAGUCAAACCAGGAGGGCAGAGAAGAAAGACUGGUUAACUAUGGUCCCCUCCAUGUCCAGGGUGCUCCAUGGAACCCUAGCCCAAAUUAACUUCAUUUUUGCACAGGAUUUCUUAGCUUCCUGUACCCUUGACACCUGUACCAUCCAGUACAGUAGCCGUCAGCCCCAUGUGACUGUUGAGGACUUGGAACAUGGCUGAUGCCCCUUGUGAAAUGACAGUAUUUUGGAUAUACUGGUUUAAUGUUUACAUUUCCAAAAUUACGCCAGGCGUGACAAGAUUGUAAUCCCAGGCCUGGCAACUGAGAAAAAGGGAUCAAAGGAGUUCAAGACCAUCCUAGACUGCAUAGCUACAUUGAACAGUACAUUGUAUUGUCUCAACAAUACAAAUCAAGCUAGACAAGGUGGCACAUGCCUAUAACUCCAGCACUUGGGAGGCUGAGGCAGGAGGAUCACCAUGAGUUCCAGGCCAGCCUGAACCAAGUAGUGAGACCCGUCUCAAAUUUAAAAAAAAGAAAAAAUCAAAGAAAUAAAAAAUUUAAAGUAGCUACAUGUGUUAGCACAGGCUUGUAAUCCCAGCUUCUCAGGAGGCUGAGGCAGAAGGAUGACAAGUUUUAGGCCAAACUGGACAAUUUAGCCAGACCCUAUCUCAAAAAAAUGGCUGGAGGGGUGGCUAGGGAUGUAGUUCAGUGGUAGAGUGCUGUUGGGUUCAACCCUCAGUACCACAUACACAAAAAAAUUUAACUUUAAAAUAAUUUCAAAUUAUAUUUAAUUUCAAUUUUAUUAUAGAUACAGUUUUAGGGGCCAAGGAUAUAGCUCAGUGGCACAAGUGCCUGCCUGGCAAGUGCAAGGUCCUGAGUUUGAUUCCUGGUACCAAAAUAUAUGUAUAGUUCUUUAAAUAAACUUAAAAUAAUUUUAAUUAAAUAUCUUCAUCUUUUUUUGUUUUAGUUUUGCAGUGCUGAGGAUGGAAUCCAGGGCCUUUCACACGAUAAGAAAGUGCUCUAUCACUGAACUACAUCCUCAGCCUUGUUUCUUUGUUUGUUUGCUUGUUUUUGAGACAAGAUCUGGCUAAAUUUCCUAGGCUGGACCCAAAUUUGCAACUCUCCUGCCUCAGCCUCCUGAGUAGCUGAGAUUACAGGUAUGCAUCACCAUGCCUACCUCUUUUUAUCUUUUAUACGAUGCUACUGGAAAUCUUUAAAUUACAUGUUAAUUUUACUUUGUAUCUAGGGGUGAAGCUCAAUAGUAGGACACUUGCCUAGCACACACAAUCUCCAGCACCACAAAAUAAUAAAUAAAAUUAUAUAUGUGGCUGACAGUAUUCGGCACUAUUACUCAAAGAUUUACUUAUGCAUUAUGUUGACUGUUUAUUACCUGGUAGAACAUUAGCCCUGCCAGGUGUGAGGUGCACACCUGUAAUCCCAGCACUCAGGAGGCUGAGGCAGGGGGAUCACCUAUGAGCUUGAGGCCAGCAUAGGCUAUAUGGUGAGUUCAAAGCCAGUUUGAACUGUACAGCAAGACCCUGUCUCAAAAGAAAAAAAAAAGAAAAAGAAAAACAUCAGCCGCACCGGGAAAGAGCUUUUUUCUGCCUUGUUCACUGCUACAUUCCCAGAAUCUAGUGCAUUGUCUCAUGUAUACAUAAUAGAUGCUCAAUAAAUAUCCAUUAAAUGGGUAGCUCUUUACAUUGCAACUCACCGAGUGUUGUGUUUUUUGUUUUGUUUGAGGGGAGCCGUGCUGGGAUGGGACCCGGUGUGCUAUGGUUCAAAUGUCUCCCUCAGAGGUCACACAUCUGAAACUUAAUGUCUGAAGCAACAGUGCUGGGUCCUGAGGCUUUGCAGAGCCGAUGGGUAGGUGUCUCCUCUGGAGUGGGUCAGCUGUCCAGAGAGCAGACCCCUCACAAAAGCUCCUUUGCCCUUUGCUCGCUUGAGCUCACCCUUUCUUGCCCUCCUGCCUUCUGCCUCGGACAGUACACUGAGAAUCCUCUCAGCCGGACGCCACCCCUCCUCCAAAAGCACAGACCAGAUACAUUUCUGCUUAUUGCAGACUCCCCACUCUCAGGGAUUCUGGAUAUAGCCGUCGGCAGGGACUGAGACACCAUGCACACCGGUUCUGCACCGCGCUGUAGUCCUGCACUGAAUUCUCAGAGCAGCUCUGGGUGAGGAUCUGCCACCGCCCCAGCCACAGGGGAUCAGACGGAGGCUUGGAGCAGCGAGAGGGCGGCCCAGUCCCUCAGAGCCACCUUCUUCCUCUCCACGCCCGCUCUCCCGGCCCCUGGUAACCACCCCUCUGCUCUGCUUCUGUGGGAUCGACUUUUCGUGAGGGGAAACAUGCAGCAUUUGUCUUUCUGCGCCUGGGUUCUCAUACCCUGUGCUCCAUCCAAGGAGGCAGCUUGCAUUCUUGACAGUCACUCAGGAUCUGGUCUGAAUUACACUGCCCGCCCCAGCCCACUGUCCCCGCUGGUGGCGGCCGCCAAGUGAGCUGCACGUCUUUCUUGGCUCGCUAGAAAAUGCAAGUAUGGAUCUCACGGGAUUGUGGGAAACAACUUUUUGUAAAGAGUGUGAUGCAGAGAUCCCAAACUUUCUAGGUUCAAGGCACUCUUAGCAUCUCAGUCAUUUUUCAUGGUGUCCCUAACCAUUCCACCACCAACCCCAAGAAAAGCGAACAGUAAGCCUGGCAUGGUGGUGUACACCCAUGAUCCCAGCACUCUGGGAGGCUGAGGCAGGAGGAUCACAAGUUCAAGUCUAUCCUGGGCAACUUAGUGACUUAGUGAUAUGGGGGGGAGGGUGUUGUAGAUGUAGCUCAGUGUGAAGGCCCUGGGUCCAAUCCCCAGUAUUACCACCACCACUCCCCAAAAAAGCAAGCAGUUAUUUAGUAAGUAGUCACAUCAACACAACUAGUAAGUAAGCGUACCCUAACAACUUAGUAGUUGCUUGAAAAGUAAUACACUUAAGUGGAAAGGGAAAAAAAGCUUUUUGGUUCAUUCUUAAAUACCUGAAAAUGUCCUAAAGGGAUACAUGUAACUGACAGGGAUCGACAUGACUUCUCAGCCAAGUGCCGUGAGGCACGUCUGUAAUCCCAGCACUCGGGAGGCUGAGGCAGGAGGAUAGUUUCGAGUUGGAGGCCAGCCUGAGCUACAAAGUGAGCUCAAGGUCGGCCUGAACUGCAUAGUGAGACCUUGUCUCAAAAAGCAAAAAAAAAAGAAAGAAA
ensembl:lincRNA